rnacentral:rRNA from 1 species
GACGUAGGGCGCGAGCGUUGUCCGGAUUUAUUGGGCGUAAAGAGCUCGUAGGCGGCUUGUCGCGUCGUUCGUGAAAACCUGCAGCUCAACUGCAGGCUUGCGGUCGAUACGGGCAGGCUGGAGUUCGGUAGGGGAGACUGGAAUUCCUGGUGUAGCGGUGAAAUGCGUAGAUAUCUGGAGGAACACCGGUGGCGAAGGCGGCAUCCUGGACCGGCAUUGACGCUGAGGCGCGAAAGCCAGGGGAGCAAACGGG